rnacentral:rRNA from 1 species
CACGUAGGGUGCGAGCGUUGUCCGGAAUUAUUGGGCGUAAAGAGCUUGUAGGCGGUUUGUCGCGUCUGCUGUGAAAAUCCGGGGCUCAACCCCGGACUUGCAGUGGGUACGGGCAGGCUAGAGUGUGGUAGGGGAGACUGGAAUUCCUGGUGUAGCGGUGAAAUGCGCAGAUAUCAGGAGGAACACCGAUGGCGAAGGCGGUUCUCUGGGCCUUACCUGACGCUGAGGAGCGAAAGCGUGGGGAGCGAACAGG